UACAGAGGUCUCAAGCGUUGUCCGGAUUCAUUGGGCGUAAAGGGUGCGUAGGCGGCGCGGUAAGUCGGGUGUGAAAUCUCGGAGCUUAACUCCGAAACUGCAUUCGAUACUGCCGUGCUUGAGGACUGGAGAGGAGACUGGAAUUUACGGUGUAGCAGUGAAAUGCGUAGAUAUCGUAAGGAAGACCAGUGGCGAAGGCGGGUCUCUGGACAGUUCCUGACACUGAGACACGAAGGCCAGGGGAGCAAACGGG
rnacentral:rRNA from 1 species